rnacentral:rRNA from 1 species
UACGUAGGGACCAAGCGUUGUUCGGAUUACUGGGCGUAAAGGGCGCGUAGGCGGCAAUUCAAGUCAUCUGUGAAAUCUCCGGGCUUAACCCGGAACGGUCAGAUGAUACUGCUUUGCUAGAGUGCGGAAGGGGCAAUCGGAAUUCUUGGUGUAGCGGUGAAAUGCGUAGAUAUCAAGAGGAACACCUGAGGUGAAGACGGGUUGCUGGGCCGACACUGACGCUGAUAGCGCGAAAGCCAGGGAGCAAACGGG